GACGAACGCUGGCGGCGUGCUUAACACAUGCAAGUCGAACGGAAAGGCCCUGCUUUUGUGGGGUGCUCGAGUGGCGAACGGGUGAGUAACACGUGAGUAACCUGCCCUUGACUUUGGGAUAACUUCAGGAAACUGGGGCUAAUACCGGAUAGGAGCUCCUGCUGCAUGGUGGGGGUUGGAAAGUUUCGGCGGUUGGGGAUGGACUCGCGGCUUAUCAGCUUGUUGGUGGGGUAGUGGCUUACCAAGGCUUUGACGGGUAGCCGGCCUGAGAGGGUGACCGGCCACAUUGGGACUGAGAGACGGCCCAGACUCCUACGGGAGGCAGCAGUGGGGAAUAUUGCACAAUGGGCGGAAGCCUGAUGCAGCAACGCCGCGUGCGGGAUGACGGCGUUCGGGUUGAAAACCGCUUUCGCCUGUGACGAAGGGUGAGUGACGGUAAUGGGUAAAGAAGCACCGGCUAACUACG
rnacentral:rRNA from 1 species